rnacentral:rRNA from 1 species
UAGGGAAUCUUCGGCAAUGGACGGAAGUCUGACCGAGCAACGCCGCGUGAGUGAAGAAGGUUUUCGGAUCGUAAAGCUCUGUUGUAAGAGAAGAACGAGUGUGAGAGUGGAAAGUUCACACUGUGACGGUAUCUUACCAGAAAGGGACGGCUAACUACGUGCCAGCAGCCGCGGUAAUACGUAGGUCCCGAGCGUUAUCCGGAUUUAUUGGGCGUAAAGCGAGCGCAGGCGGUUAGAUAAGUCUGAAGUUAAAGGCUGUGGCUUAACCAUAGUACGCUUUGGAAACUGUUUAACUUGAGUGCAAGAGGGGAGAGUGGAAUUCCAUGUGUAGCGGUGAAAUGCGUAGAUAUAUGGAGGAACACCGGUGGCGAAAGCGGCUCUCUGGCUUGUAACUGACGCUGAGGCUCGAAAGCGUGGGGAGCAAACAGGAUUAGAUACCCUGGUAGUCCACGCCGUAAACGAUGAGUGUUAGGUGUUAGACCCUUUCCGGGGUUUAGUGCCGCAGCUAACGCAUUAAGCACUCCGCCUGGGGAGUACGACCGCAAGGNU